rnacentral:rRNA from 1 species
GACGAACGCUGGCGGCGUGCUUAACACAUGCAAGUCGAACGGAAAGGCCCUGCUUGCAGGGUACUCGAGUGGCGAACGGGUGAGUAACACGUGGGUGAUCUGCCCUGCACUUCGGGAUAAGCCUGGGAAACUGGGUCUAAUACAGGAUAGGAGCACUUUUUAGUGUGAUGGUUGGAAAGUUUUUUCGGUGUAGGAUGAGCUCGCGGCCUAUCAGCUUGUUGGUGGGGUAGUGGCCUACCAAGGCGGCGACGGGUAGCCGGCCUGAGAGGGUGGACGGCCACAUUGGGACUGGGAUACGGCCCAGACUCCUACGGGAGGCAGCAGUUGGGAAUAUUGCACAAUGGGCGCAAGCCUGAUGCAGCGACGCCGCGUGGGGGAUGACGGCCUUCGGGUUGUAAACUCCUUUCGCUAGGGACGAAGCUUUUUGUGACGGUACCUAGAUAAGAAGCACCGGCUAACUACGUG